rnacentral:rRNA from 1 species
UACGAGGGGGGCGAGCGUUGGUCGGAAUUAUUGGGCGUAAAGGGUGCGUAGGCGGUUCCGCAAGUCCUGUGUGAAAUCUUCGGGCUCAACUCGAAGUCUGCACGGGAAACUGCGGGGCUUGAGUGUGGGAGAGGUGAGUGGAAUUCCCGGUGUAGCGGUGAAAUGCGUAGAGAUCGGGAGGAACACCAGAGGCGAAGGCGGCGACCUGGACAGUGACUGACACUCAACUACGAAAGCGUGGGGAGCAAACAGG